rnacentral:rRNA from 1 species
GCGACCCCAGGUCAGGCGGGGUUACCCGCUGAGYUUAA